rnacentral:pre_miRNA from 1 species
CUGGUUGCAGUUGGUGCAUAGAUGUCUAGGAGUAUUCUAGCACCAGUUGAAAUCAGUGU